rnacentral:tRNA from 1 species
GUCGUGGCGGUGGGGGAUUUUUUGUACGGGAUGAG